rnacentral:rRNA from 1 species
AGUGAACGCUGGCGGUAGGCCUAACACAUGCAAGUCGAACGGCAGCACAGUAAGAGCUUGCUCUUACGGGUGGCGAGUGGCGGACGGGUGCGGAAUACAUCGGAAUCUACUUUUUCGUGGGGGAUAACGUAGGGAAACUUACGCUAAUACCGCAUACGACCUACGUGUGAAAGCAGGGGAUCUUCGGACCUUUCGCGAGUGAAUGAGCCGAUGUAGGAUUAGCUAGUUGGCGGGGUAAAGGCCCACCAAGGCGACGAUCCGUAGCUGGUCUGAGAGGAUGGACAGCCAGACUGGCACUGAGAAACGGCCCACACUCCGACGCGAGGAAACGGUGGGGAAUAUUGGACAAUGGGGGAGAGCCUAAUCCAGCCAUACCGCGUGGGUGAAGAAGCACUUAUGGUUGGAAAGCCCUUAUGUUGGGAAAGAAAAGAAGCAGGUUAAUACCCCGCUGUUAUGACGGUACCCAAAGAAUAAGCACCGGCUAACUUCGUG